ACGGUAUCGUUACCGAGUCCGCCCUGCAUUAUAUCGACGCCGCCGAAGCCAAAGAUGGUAUCGUCGUUAGCACCGCCGUCGAGCGUGUCAUUGCCGUUGACCGCCGAGCCGUUCGUGCCAUCGUCGAAGUCAUCGCCGAGCAGUUGAUCGUUGCCGUUUUCUCCGAAGAGUGAGUCGCUGCCAGCGCCGCCUUUGACUGUGUCGUUACCGUCGCCGCCAUGAAUCUCGUCGUUGUCAGUGCCACCUCGCAGGGUGUCGUUGGCGCCACCUCCGAAGAGCGUGUCGUCGCCAAUGCCGCCGUC
rnacentral:misc_RNA from 1 species